rnacentral:lncRNA from 1 species
GUUGCUAUAAAUUGUUACUUAAAGAAGGAACUAACAGAAAACUACUCUAAUAGUAGGACUUACGACCAAAGCAUGACUUGUGCUGAGUAUUGAGGACCAAGUCAGCACACCUCAACAAAUGAGAUAGAUGUACACAUUUUCUUUUAUCAGGAGAUGGAUGUACACAUUAUUAGUCACAAAUCAGUACCAUUAUCAUUAUAACUUGAAAAUUAUGGUCUCUGCUUCUUUUUGUUUCAGUUG